CAGUUCGGACUGCGGCCUGNAACCCGGCCGCNCGAAGCUGGAAUCGCUAGUAAUCGCGGAUCAGAAUGCCGCGGUGAAUACGUUCCCGGGUCUUGUACACACCGCCCGUCACACCAUGGGAGUCAGCAACGCCCGAAGUCAGUGACCCAACCUAAUAGGAGGGAGCUGCCGAAGGCGGGGCAGGUAACUGGGGUGAAGUCGUAACAAGGUAAC
rnacentral:rRNA from 1 species